GGGGUCGUAGCUCAGUUGGAAGAGCGCGUCGUUCGCAAUGACGAGGUCGUCGGUUCGAUCCCGAUCGGCUCCACCA
rnacentral:tRNA from 2 species